rnacentral:lncRNA from 1 species
CUCAGCGUAAGUUGGUAAUCCAUUUUUCAUUUGUGCUUCUUCUACUGGCUUUUUCUAACCAUUCUUUUUUCUUUUCAGCUAGCACACGACAUGUCUCAUUGGAAAGAGGGUACCGAGGGAUUGUAGAUCUCCGUUGGAAGGUUACAGCUGCAAAUGCUGACAAAGUUGCCACUGUAUAGUGCCUUCAAGCGGCAACUGAGCGGGAAGGAA